GGCGUUUCUCACUCUUCUUCUAUCUUUCUCUCUCUUUUAUCUGGAAAUCAACAUGUGGAUAGGCGGGGCCAGAUCUUUGUGGUCGCCCUAAACUGUGGGGUGGCGGUGAUGAGAGACGGUGACAGAACGGAGUAGAGAUGAGAUCUAUGAAUUUUUCACUCUUCUUCUCUCUCAAUGGCUACCAAUUGUAUGUGGUUCUUUUGUAUCAUAUUUUUCAUAAAUUUACUUCAUUGAGCUAGCAUAAUUUGUUGACAUUUUGUGGAAUUGGUUUAGUCCAGGUGAGAGUUAGGAAGCUCUAUUUUGUAGGAAAUAAUGUUUGCAUAGAGGUCUCUCCUAAAAGUUAGCCUCCAUCCCAAGCCUUCUAUUCAGCAUCCACCUCAGGUCCUUAGCCAUAAUUAGACUUACCCCAAGUCAGUUGGUAAAAUCUUUCGAUUCUAACUUCUCUAUUUCUGGUGUUUCUUCAAUUGGUUUCUUCUGAGUAGCACGCUCUUCGAACAAUUGAGAGAGCAAUAGUGGAUUAGUCGCCUCUUCGACCGUGGCUCCUGUCAUUUGCCAUAUGGAACCUGAUGUGUGUAUUUUAGCUACCAUGAUUUUAUAUGAUUUUACAUGGUUUGUGACAUUUUGGCGCAGGAUUUAGAUGAAUUGGAGAUGGAUGCUCGUGGAUGGAAGAAGUUGUGAAAGUCGAGAAUUGUCGAAGAAGUUGGUGAAUUUUUGGAGAGAUUUAGAGAUUUGGGCUUUGGAAAUAUUUAUCUUGUAAUUUAUUUAAGCCUAAUACUCUUUUAAUUAAGCUUUUUUGGGCUUUAGUUUUGAAAAGGCCGAAACCCACGUUAAUUAUGGGUGUUCGGCCACUUAGGUUUAAUUUGCUAGUUUUUGAUUCAUAUUGGACUCUAAUUAGCUUUAGAGAGGCCGCAGAGUUAGAAUUUAAUUAGGUUAGCAUCUUUUUGUUUUAUUAACCAUAGCCGCACUUUUAGACUGGAGAUCAUUAGAGUUUGACUUGUUUAGGUUGAGAUCAUACACUUUAUUUCUCUUUUGUUUUAGUUUUUGGCAGACGACUUUUGUUAAGUUUCAUGCAUGCAAGUUUCUUUUAUAUAUUGUUACUUCUUUAGCUUUUGACUUGGAGAGAAUUUGCGGCUGGAUCGUGAAGGCUUGGAAGAUUUGUGGUUAAUUUAUUUCAAGUUUAAAUUCUUGCUUUUUGUUAGUUUUAAUUUGCGUAUUAUUCGUUUAUCAUAUUUGAUUAUUAUGUUUUCUUUUAUUUUUUUGAUUGUUUUUAUUUUAAGCAUGAGUAGUUAAAUUUUUAAUUCGACGAGAAUAAUGAAACUCUAAUUUAAUGAUCUGUGAGACCUAAUUGGUUUUAAAAUUGAUUCCUAUUAAUUUCGAUUAAUUCCUAGGUUUAAGGAUAAUUCCAAUUUUAUUUAAGUCUGAUCAACUUAGGUUUAAUUGGAUUAUAGUCAAUUAGCACCUCCAAUCCGUAAUUGUUGGAAUAGGACUAAUUAGUGGCAAAACUACCAUGUUCGUAGUAGGAAUUAAUUGGUAUAUUAAUUAUUACUAGCGUAUCUAGGAUAAUUGGUAUAAAUUGGGUUCCUUCAUCUUAAUGCUAUUAGAAUAUUAAAUCUAGGUCUGGCGUCUCCAGCUAGGUUAUAUUUUAAUAAGGGAAAUAAGCAGGUCUGGCGUCUCCAGCUGUUUAUCGACACAGUAAGUAGGAAUUGGGGUACGUCCGUUGCGUUUCACGGUAUCCUAUAACUGGUUGGUUGAUAGGGAUUAAUUAAUUAUUGCGUCGAGGAUCAGAGAUUAAAUUAGUGUGGAUUUAUUUGAGCCGAAUUACCCUUUUUAUUGAUUUAAUUCAAAAGUAUUUUAUUUGAUUUAAUUCUGCGUUUUUAGUUUAAUUAAAUCCUCUUAAAUUUAAGGCGUGGUGGCAUCACCGUUUUUAUAGAUUUUUGGGGAAUUGAAUGAUUUUACCUGCUCUCUGUGGGAUCGACCCUGCUUAUCAUCAUACUAAUUUGUUUUGAUAAUUCUGCAGGAAUUAUUUGGUGGAAAACGACGUCCACCAGAACCUUUCAGUAACUAGGGUGUCGUAGCUGAGGUACUUAUAGAAUAUGAAUAGCAGAGAGAUUUUUUCUACAAGUUAUAAAUAUAACUUGUAAAUGCCUCAGGGCGAAAAAAUUCACUAGUAAAAUGUGAAUUACAAAAAGAUCCGUAACAACUAAUUCUAACAUCACAAAUAGGUGGAAACACUGCUGAAAAAAUCACAAUGAAACAGAUCACAAUCCUCACAAAACACUCAAAACUAUAUAUACUGGACAUAAUAAAGAUUCUAUUGUACGAAAAUAAGAGAUGCUAUGUAAAAUGUUGAAACAACAAUUUCAGGGACAAAGACUCUGUCAAACAGUUUGCUUUUCUUUGGUUGCUCUCUAUCUUGAUGUGUAAGACAUGACUCAUUUUAUAGACGUUUGAAACCCUUGAAAAGCAGUCUUCAAGAUUAGUUACAAGCCACGACUGAAUUGCAUUGAGUGUGAGUUAUAGCUUGUUGAAAACAUGCUCCUCAACUCCCACUACUUUGUAACCACUCAUCCUUUAUGGUUACAUGCAAUAUCCUUUCACUUGAAUGCCUCUUUGACCUAGCCUUUAUUCUUCAUUGAUAUCGGUAACAAAUGUUACAUGAUACUUCCUCCGUCAACGAUCAAUGUUUCCUAACUUUUUGGGUGCGAGUUUUAAGAAAUAUUAGGUGAAUGUGUUGUGAGUGAAGUUUUGAUCCCACAUUAAAGGUAUUAUUAUGGAGUAGUAUUUAAAAAUGUGUGGUGGAGGAGUGAAAUUUAGGUCCCACAUUAAUAAAUGACACAAUAUAAUCGCAUGGCCAUUUUGAAGAAGGAAACACAAUAUUUGGCCAUUAAUUGAAAAAACACAAAAUUUGGCCACUAUUAGUGUCAUAUGUGCCUAACCCGCGCGUAAACCCGAAUUCGAUCCAAAUCCAAUCCGUCCUAAUUAAGGGCAAAAUAGUCUUUACACGUAAUAAAUGGCCAAAUUUUGUAUUUUUUCAAUUAGUGGCCAAAUAUUGUGUUUCCUUCUUCAAAAUGGUUAUUUCAAAAGCGCUCUUUUAAUAAAUUAUGUUGUUAGUGGAGUUUGUGUCCCACAUUAAAGGUGUUAUUAUGAGGUACUGUUUAAAAAUGUGUGGUGGAAGAGUGGAGUUUAGAUCCCGCGCGCGCAUUAAUUGUAUUAUGAAGUAGUGUCUAAAGAUGGAAAAUGAAUACUCCCUCCGUCCCACCAUUUUAGUCCCCUCCCACUUUUCACACAUAUUAAGAAAAUGCAUUUAAUUUUUAUAUUUUUAUCUUUUAUACCCUUAUUUAUUAUUUUCACACAUCCUUUUCACAUUCAAGUGAAGCAUUAAAUAAGGUUAAUUUAGUAAAAAUAAUAUUUUUAUAUAGUAUUAAUUAAAAAAGUGGACUAUCUUUUUGGGACAUCUCAAAAUAGAAUAAGGGACUAAAAUGGUGGGAUGGGAGUAUUUUUUAUGACAUUAAAAUGGCAAAAAAGGAACAUGCGUGGACGGAGGGAUUAUUACAUUUAAUCUCUUUUUUAUGUAUUAAUACUACAAAACAAUAAUUUGUGAAGAAAUGACAAAACAAAUAUGAAGCGCAUAGAUUUAUUGUAGGCAAAAUGAGCGAUUUCAUGGGGGGAGUAGUGGUAUUAUUAUUUGAUUGAAAACACGAAAUGUGUCUACAAAUGCAGAGACAAAUCAAGGUUGUGAUCUCUGUGGCGGGUCUCAUAGUGAUAAUCCCCAUAGGCAUAGGGAUAGGGUUGAGCUGAAUAAUCAUCAACGCAUCUAACCCUACUCCUCUGCUCAUGCGCAUGCGCAACAUUGUAUUGAUGAUACAGCGCCACCUCUUGGAAAGAUCCGAAGCCACCGUAUUGAAUGCCGAUGGGAUAGUUGAUGAGUGGCGGCGACGCCAUUAGAGCGUAGUCGGAGGCACCCCUUUUGCUCUUGCCGGCGGCGCUUCUCUCUUUCUUGUGGGCGUUUUGGUGGCCGCCUAAAGCUUGCGAGCUGUGGAACUUUCUUGAACAAUAUGAACAUGGGAAGAAUUUUGGUGCAUCUUCUGCUUUAUUUGCUGAACUCUCCAUUUCCUGUGGUUACCAAAUCAACUAGUUUAGAAAAUAGCAGUGAAUUAGUUGAAGAGAUGUGCAUGAGUGAACAGACCUUUAAUUUAGAAAAGUUUUCAACUGGUGCAAGAGCAACUAUUUGGCAAGAAUUUGAAGAUCUUGGUUAAGGUUGGAAUGUGUGUGUGUGAUUUAUAAGAUAGUGUGUGCAUUGGGAUUUGAGACAAUUGGCACAAGAGAGGUGUAUGUAUGGGCCCACAGGUAAGAGAAGAGAUAAGAGAAGAGAUAAUUAAAUGCUCAACUGCGAGUGCAACUGUAGUUUUUGAACAGAGAGUGAUUGGAGAGAGAUAGAGAGAAGGGAGAAUACAUCCAUUUGUGUGACUGUGAAUUAGAGUAGGUGUUUGCCUUUUCAGGCAAAUUAUAGAUGGUGCAUGUUGUUUAUCUUUCAAGGCUAAGUUCAGAUAUUUGUUGUGUCAUAAUCUUGGUGUUAUCUCGUUCAUAAAAAAGAGUGCUGAAUUUGAGGUUUUUCUACAGAUUCAAGUAACCUGCAGCUAUCCAAUCUGCAGCAUGUAGUAGAAUAUAUGCCCAUCUACACCAUGUUCUACAACUGUUAUUACUCUCUCUCUCUCUCUCCCCCCCUUCUUUUUUUAAAAAAUUUAAUGUUUCAUGCAUCAAUAAUAAAAUGUUUAUCUUCAAG
rnacentral:lncRNA from 1 species